UUGCUUCUAAUUUUCAUUACCCGCUCGUUAUUCCCCCCAACAUUAAAAGCUUUACACCGACCCUUUGCUCUCCUAGGUCAAAACUCAAAACAUAUUUGAAAUAUCGGAUCCCCUAAAUCAAAAUCCCUUCCAAUUUGCAAACCCUUGUCGCUCGUAUGCGUUGCAGGUUAAAUCUCAGAUUGAAGUUCAUUGCAGAUUUAAUCCAUCUCGGUAUCUCUCCGUCGAUUGAAGAUCUCUAUAUCUCAUCAUCUAUUUCAUCUUGUUCUCUGACCCCCGAAAAGUAUGAUUACCGAAUCUAAUUUGACUACCUGGUUUCUUUGUUUGUUGCUUUUCUUUUUGUGGUUCCCGAUCCUAUUGUAUUCCCACAAUUAUAAGUAAUUGGCUAACAUAUUUUGAUUCUUCUUUUUGAGGUUCUGGCGUCUUCUACUUUUCUCCCCCAAAUUGAACUAUAUCUCAACAGGUGGAUUCAUUGUUGCAAAAGGUAUGCUUCCUAGUUAUUGGCUUUUGUACCUGAUUUACAUAUUUUAGAUGUGAAAAUUUGUUAGUCGGUUGAUAAAUUGUUGUGGUUCAGAAGUUUUUGGCAUUUCUUUUUCAAUAUUAUUGGAACAUCUUUCAUGUUUAGAGACGCACAUCAAGUGCUCGGCGAAAUUCCUGAAACAAACACCACUUCUUUUUCAUUAAGUUAGCCUUUGUUUAGUGUCUCUGUAGCUUAUUUUUCAUUAAUAGUAACUCAAAAUCAGUAGCUCUAGCUUUUUGCAAUUCCCAUAAGGUUGAGGCUGGUUCACAAAGUGUAAUGAGAACACUUGUUUAAACAUAUUUUUCCACUACAAACAUAAACAAACCUCCAAAUUUGACACAUUAAAUAAAUAGGUGCAAGCUAAUAGAUAAGGUAAUUGCAAUCUUUACCAAAAAAUACAAGUACAAUCUAUAUAUUUACAUAAUGAUUCAAGUGUUGCCAUUUAGAAAAAUCUUAUUGGUGUUAAUCGGUUUAACCGAAAACAAUUGAACGAACCAGUUAAGUUUAUACGGUUUUAGGUUGACCGAAUAAGACACCCGAAAACCAAAUAACCCGAACCAAUUAAUCAUUUUUUAUUCGGUUUCGGUUUGUUUCCGCACCCCUAAAUAAGUUGCUAUAAUCAGCUCUUUUUUAUUUAUAUAUCUUAUUUCUAAGAUGGCUAACAUUUUUUUUCCAUUAUGUGAAACAGAGGAUGGACCAAAAAAUUUGAAGACAUUUCAACAUUCUAAACCUUUAAUAUGUUUUGUUAAAAUCAUAGGUAACACUUAUGUGCAUUUUGUUUAAUUUCUUAACUUUAUGUCUUUUUUAUACGAGUUGGUAUUUUCCAUUUUCAUGUUCAGGUUGAUUGGAUGAUAUUUUAAUACACAAAUUAGUCUAUGCCUUGACUAUAUGUUUCAAUAUAUAUAUAUAUAUAAUUCAACCAUGCUUCAGGGAGUUGUCAAAAUUUGUUUCAAAGUAGGCUAAGGAAGGGAAGGUAGGCAUUUUUUUAAAAUUUUUCAUGUCUUGUUUCUAUAUCAUGUAAAUAUAUAAACAUGUUUUUAUAUAAUGUAUUAUGGUUAUAUGAUAGGUAAUUGUUCAGAAGUUGGAUAAAUAAGAAGAGCAAUUAUACAAAGUUCGAGGUCAAUGAAGCUUCGUGUUUCUUCUCCAACAAUUACAAUUAUCUAGUUCAAUAUUAUUAUGGUUUAAGUACUUGCACCACAUUUUUAAUUAUUAAACUUUUGAGAGGAUGUUUUUAUUUUAAAUAUAUUGAAAAUAUUGUUGUUAGACAAGUUCAAAUUGACUUAAUGAUAUUGUGUUUCCAUUUAAUAUCUUAAUUGUCUUAUUAUUAUUUUAUAA
rnacentral:lncRNA from 1 species